GACGAACGCUGGCGGCGUGCUUAACACAUGCAAGUCGAACGGAAAGGCCCUGCUCUUGUGGGGUGCUCGAGUGGCGAACGGGUGAGUAACACGUGAGUAACCUGCCCUUGACUUUGGGAUAACUUUAGGAAACUGGGGCUAAUACCGGAUAGGAGCUCCUGCUGCAUGGUGGGGGUUGGAAAGUUUCGGCGGUUGGGGAUGGUCUCGCGGCUUAUCAGCUUGUUGGUGGGGUAGUGGCUUACCAAGGCUUUGACGGGUAGCCGGCCUGAGAGGGUGACCGGCCACAAUAGGACUGAGAUACGGCCCAGACUCCUACGGGAGGCAGCAGUGGGGAAUAUUGCACAAUGGGCGGAAGCCUGAUGCAGCAACGCCGCGUGCGGGAUGACGGCCUUCGGGUUGUAAACCGCUUUCGCCUGUGACGAAGCGUGAGUGACGGUAAUGGGUAAAGAAGCACCGGCUAACUACGUG
rnacentral:rRNA from 1 species